GGGUUGUGAGGUUAAGCGACUAAGCGUACACGGUGGAUGCCCUGGCAGUCAGAGGCGAUGAAGGGCGUGCUAAUCUGCGAUAAGCGCCGGUAAGGUGAUAUGAACCGUUAUAACCGGCGAUACCCGAAUGGGGAAACCCAGUGUGACUCGUCACACUAUCAUUAACUGAAUCCAUAGGUUAAUGAGGCGAACCGGGGGAACUGAAACAUCUAAGUACCCCGAGGAAAAGAAAUCAACCGAGAUUCCCCCAGUAGCGGCGAGCGAACGGGGAGGAGCCCAGAGCCUGAAUCAGCAUGUGUGUUAGUGGAAGCGUCUGGAAAGGCGCGCGAUACAGGGUGACAGCCCCGUACACAAAAGCGCAUGUGCUGUGAGCUCGAUGAGUAGGGCGGGACACGUGGUAUCCUGUCUGAAUAUGGGGGGACCAUCCUCCAAGGCUAAAUACUCCUGACUGACCGAUAGUGAACCAGUACCGUGAGGGAAAGGCGAAAAGAACCCCGGCGAGGGGAGUGAAAAAGAACCUGAAACCGUGUACGUACAAGCAGUGGGAGCACAGGUUUACCUGUGUGACUGCGUACCUUUUGUAUAAUGGGUCAGCGACUUAUAUUCUGUAGCAAGGUUAACCGAAUAGGGGAGCCGGAGGGAAACCGAGUCUUAAUUGGGCGUUAAGUUGCAGGGUAUAGACCCGAAACCCGGUGAUCUAGCCAUGGGCAGGUUGAAGGUUGGGUAACACUAACUGGAGGACCGAACCGACUAAUGUUGAAAAAUUAGCGGAUGACCUGUGGCUGGGGGUGAAAGGCCAAUCAAACCGGGAGAUAGCUGGUUCUCCCCGAAAGCUAUUUAGGUAGCGCCUCGUGAAUUCAUCUCCGGGGGUAGAGCACUGUUUCGGCUAGGGGGCCAUCCCGGCUUACCAACCCGAUGCAAACUGCGAAUACCGGAGAAUGUUAUCACGGGAGACACACGGCGGGUGCUAACGUCCGUCGUGAAGAGGGAAACAACCCAGACCGCCAGCUAAGGUCCCAAAGUCAUGGUUAAGUGGGAAACGAUGUGGGAAGGCCCAGACAGCCAGGAUGUUGGCUUAGAAGCAGCCAUCAUUUAAAGAAAGCGUAAUAGCUCACUGGUCGAGUCGGCCUGCGCGGAAGAUGUAACGGGGCUAAACCAUGCACCGAAGCUGCGGCAGCGAACGUAUCACUUAAAGCGAUUCAGCGGGUUACGAUUGACGGAGCGAAGCGACGUCAAAGCGUAUACAAAGUCGAGUCGGUUUAAGGAUACGUUCGUUGGGUAGGGGAGCGUUCUGUAAGCCUGUGAAGGUGUGUCGUGAGGCAUGCUGGAGGUAUCAGAAGUGCGAAUGCUGACAUAAGUAACGAUAAAGCGGGUGAAAAGCCCGCUCGCCGGAAGACCAAGGGUUCCUGUCCAACGUUAAUCGGGGCAGGGUGAGUCGACCCCUAAGGC
rnacentral:rRNA from 1 species